rnacentral:sRNA from 1 species
CCUUCACCAUCAUCCCCCUUCCCUUCCUUCUCCUUCCGUUUCUGUACAACGUCCCAAUUAUACACUCUGGCGGUUGCGACUUCGAGAGUCGUAAUCUGCUCCCGCAAAAACUCCAAGUCUUCUUCGCAGUUGGCGAGACUGACUUCAGCGGCGCGGAGCUUUUCUGUCAGCAGUUCCGCGGCUUCGUUGAUGGGGUAUGCAAGCAUGACGUUGGCACCGAGCCAGAGGAAGACUUCGUUUGUGUCCUUGGGCUGGAUUGUGGCGCGAGAGUAUAGAGUGUCGUUGAGUUCGAAGGUGGUCUCGAGAGGCGUAUCGGCGCCAACCUCUCUCCUGUUCUGCAACAGCGUCACCGUCUCCAGUGUCUUCUUGAUAUCAGGAAUCUUGUCCUUCAGGCCCUGGCCGCGACGUUGUGUGUUCAGCUCCAUGAACUGGUAUUUGGAUAUCAUCUCCUGGAACGAGCGCAGUGUGGGCUCGACGUCUGCGCGUGACGAGACAUAAUCUGCAACAUUAUCGACAAAUGGUGCGACGGGGAUGCCGCGCGGAUUGGUUGUCGACGGGUCGACGGCGGGGUUUUUCGCCUGGUUGUCGGACAUGAUGCCGCUGCGACUUGUUUAAAGGGAGAAGCCCCUCCCCCGUCGAACUAAGAGGUAUUGCAGGAAGACGGAAAAGUAACUGUUCGAGAGUUGGCAUACGGGGUUGGUGGGCGUGGAGUCGAAAUGUCUAUUUAUGUUGAAGCACCGACCGGAAUGACGUCUUGCAGCGUCAACAAACACCAACAAAGACACACUCAGCCCGCCUCACCCCAACACCGCACCUCAUCCAGGUAUAUAUAUCUAUAUAUAUUCGCAUCACGGGAGGAUGUCUCCUGGCAGCUCUCUCUAUCCACAAUGGUUCUCCUCCUCAUGACCCCGGCCAUAGCGGCUGCCCUCGACAGCUUGCCCGCCUCAAUCCGUGACGAGCUCUCCCUACCAACUGCUCCUGCGAGCGCCGCGAUAUCACACACACAGCUCACUGCCCUCUCCAGAUACCUUGUGUCCAACCCUCCAUUCACAGAGAAACCCACAGAUCCAUCUAAUGGAGCUGUCAAUCGAUGUGAGAGCUUCUCGCUCAACUCGCUUCUCAAGGGUACCAGGGUCUAUGCUUCCCCCCCUCCACCAAAACCGGAACCUACGCCCGAAUACCUCGCCCUAAAAGCUUCCCUCCUCGCCGCCGAGGAAGCAAGAAGGUACAAUGCUCUCCUAAACGCUGCCUCCUCAAGCCCUCCAUCUCGGAUUUGGGGACUCAACGACCCUCCAGCGACAAACAUAUAUUCACAUCCCAAACAACACCACCACAACAACGACAACAACAACAUAAACAUAAACACCAUCGACGAUCUCGACGCCGACGACCCCCUAACCCCAUCCGUGGUUCUCAACAUCCUUGUCUCGAUCCUCUUCACGGGUUUCGCAACGUACUGGGCCCUCUCCAACUUCCGCAUCCCGACCUUCUUCACAUUCACAUCCUCAGCGGCGCCGUCACAUCCCGGCACCGUCUCUUCACAGCCAGCACGGGUGUUUAUUUCAAUGCUCGUCGCACUGCUGGUGGGCGUGGCGGAGGUGGGUAUUUUUGCGCUGUAUUUGAGGAAAGUGGAGUUGGCGAGGGGAAGGGAAAGGGCGAUUGUUGAGAGGAAGGUCGUGAUUGGGGAGGUUAAGAUUGGCGGAGGUGACGGGAGGCAUGGUGGUGAUGA